GGAUGUGAGGGCGAUCUGGCUGCCACAUCUGUCACCCCAUUGAUCGCCAGGGUUGACUGGGCUGAUCUGGCUGGCUAGGCGGGUGUCCCCUCCCUCCCUCACCGCUCCAUGUGCGUCCCUCCCGAAGCUGUGCGCUUGGUCGGUCGAAGAGGACGACCACCCCCGAUACAGGAGGACAGUUUCCUCAGUCAAGGGUAUCCGAGUAGCUGCGCUCCCCUGCUAGAACCUCCAAACAAGCUCUCAAGGAUGUUGAGGAAAGUAAAAAUGAAGCUGGUCUGGUGGCACACACCCAUAAUCCCAGAAUUU
rfam:Heterocephalus glaber contig177563, whole genome shotgun sequence.